rfam:Pristionchus pacificus strain PS312 contig11309, whole genome shotgun sequence.
UCCUCAUUUUGCCUGCUCUCUCGUCGAUCAGACAGACGAGAGAGUAGGCGAAAUGAGGAGA